CAAGCUCACCAACAUGUCAUAUGCUACCACUAGAUCAAUCAAUCAUAGAAACAAUAGUGGUACCAUACAUACAUCAAAUUCUUUUAAUUUUCAUGAAUGAGCCUAUUGUCAUGCAAACAUGUCUAUAUGUUCUAAUCAUGUCCUUAGCAAAGGAUGAAUGCUAUGUCAACCAACUUUACCUUGCUUUGUUGGAGGAGAGGCAUGUCAUAUAGAAAUGU
rnacentral:lncRNA from 1 species